UAGCUCAUUCGCCGGCCCGCUCUUUACCGGAAGAUCGGAGGAGGUCGCGACCCCAACAGCGAGGCAUUGCGGGUCAAUUGGCGCUUGCGUCGGAUUCCUCCUCAUGAUGCUCCUCCGCCGCUGCGGCGAACCUCGUGCCUCGGCGGGGCCUUGCCGGUGGUGGAAAUCAUCAGGGACCACCUAAGGUUAACAUGCGGGAAGACCCACUCAGUCCAUCUAAAUGGAAGGAAGAACAUGUGGGUGAAAAAAUGGUGCACUAGAUUUGCCAGGAUGCCCAGCCUUUCCAUUAAUUCAAAGUCGCUUGCAAUAAAGCAUCAGAGAGACAUGGCUUUCCUUGGAGAAAUCCGAAGUUAUGGCUCAUCCUUUGGGAAAUCUGAGAGACAUGGCUUGCAAUAAAUCAUCUGUAAUUUUGUUGGCUGCCGAUGUAGGAGGGAUUUUGCAAUCCUCGGAAUAACCACAAUCCUAUUGAGUUGCAACGAUUAUUUGCCUUUGGCACUCGACCUUCUUAUGGUUUGUACUUGAUGUAAAGCUCUUUUCUUGGUUCAUGAUUAAAUGUCUCUGUUAAAUGGAAAAAUCACAAAAAUAUUACAGUGCAUGUGUUUCCAAAAAUUAUGUGAUACAAUUAUGUUUAUUUGAGCA